rnacentral:rRNA from 1 species
CCUACGGGCCGCACCAGUGGGGAAUUUUGGACAAUGGGCGCAAGCCUGAUCCAGCAAUGCCGCGUGAGUGAAGAAGGCCUUCGGGUUGUAAAGCUCUUUUGUCAGGGAAGAAACGGCUCCGGCUAAUAUCCGGGGCUAAUGACGGUACCUGAAGAAUAAGCACCGGCUAACUACGUGCCAGCAGCCGCGGUAAUACGUAGGGUGCAAGCGUUAAUCGGAAUUACUGGGCGUAAAGCGUGCGCAGGCGGUUUUGUAAGUCUGUCGUGAAAGCCCCGGGCUCAACCUGGGAAUUGCGAUGGAGACUGCAAGGCUUGAAUCUGGCAGAGGGGGGUAGAAUUCCACGUGUAGCAGUGAAAUGCGUAGAGAUGUGGAGGAACACCGAUGGCGAAGGCAGCCCCCUGGGUCAAGAUUGACGCUCAUGCACGAAAGCGUGGGGAGCAAACAGGAUUAGAUACCCGGGUAGUC